UUGGAAAAGGUUUUUUAGCUGCUGGA
rnacentral:piRNA from 1 species